AUUGAACGCGGGCGCCAUGCUUUACACAUGCAAGUCGAACGGCAGCACGAAAGAGCUUGCUCUUUUGGUGGCGAGUGGCGAACGGGUGAGUAAUGCAUCGGAACGUACCGAGUAAUGGGGGAUAACUAUCCGAAAGGAUAGCUAAUACCGCAUACGCUUUGAGAAGGAAAGUGGGGGCUCUUCGGACCUCACGUUAUUCGAGCGGCCGAUGUCUGAUUAGCUAGUUGGUGGGGUAAAGGCCUACCAAGGCGACGAUCAGUAGCGGGUCUGAGAGGAUGAUCCGCCACACUGGGACUGAGACACGGCCCAGACUCCUACGGGAGGCAGCAGUGGGGAAUUUUGGACAAUGGGCGCAAGCCUGAUCCAGCCAUGCCGCGUGUCUGAAGAAGGCCUUCGGGUUGUAAAGGACUUUUGUUAGGGAAGAAAAGGAUAGUGUUAAUACCAUUAUCUGC
rnacentral:rRNA from 1 species